rnacentral:rRNA from 1 species
GACGAACCGUGCGAACGUUGUUCGGAAUCACUGGGCUUAAAGGGCGCGUAGGCGGUCACGCACGUCCGGGGUGAAAUCUUUCGGCUUAACCGGAAAAGGGCCCUGGAUACGGCGUGACUGGAGGGGGAGAGGGGCGGACGGAACUUCCGGUGGAGCGGUGAAAUGCGUUGAUAUCGAUAGGAACUCCGGUGGCGAAGGCGGCAUACUGGACCACUUCUGACGCUGAGGCGCGAAAGCCAGGGGAGCGAACGGG